rnacentral:misc_RNA from 1 species
GGGCAGAAUGGGUAUGGGCUUGGGUUACACAAUGGAUUGUAGGCCAGCCCUUUUCUCUAACCUGAUCUUGUCCAAUAAUUCCACCAAUAUCUGGCUAUGUGGGGACUCAAACUUGAGAUACCCCACUCUCCAUAGUCCACAAAAGUGGGAAGACCAACUGAGUUAGGCCUGUUUCGUUUUGUGUGGAUGCUUCUUUAGGUGAUGCAGGACAGCAUGCAGGUCUUAGAAUUAGUGUUGA